rfam:Astyanax mexicanus chromosome 3, whole genome shotgun sequence.
GUACAUCAUUAUUGUAAGUCGCUUUGGACAAAAGCGUCUGCAAAAUGCAAUGUA